rnacentral:rRNA from 1 species
AAACCAGCACCUCAAGUGGUCAGGAGGAUUAUUGGGCCUAAAGCAUCCGUAGCCUGUUCUAUAAGUUUCCGGUUAAAUCCAUUAGCUCAACUAAUGGGCUGCCGAAAAUACUGUAGAACUAGGGAGUGGGAGAGGUAGACGGUAUUCGGUAGGAAGGGGUAAAAUCCUUUGAUCUAUUGAGGACCACCUGUGGCGAAGGCGGUCUACCAGAACACGUUCGACGGUGAGGGAUGAAAGCUGGGGGAGCAAACCGGAUUAGAAACCCCUGUAGUCC